rnacentral:rRNA from 1 species
UACAGAGGGUGCGAGCGUUAAUCGGAAUUACUGGGCGUAAGGGGUGCGUAGGUGGCUUUUUAAGUCGUUUGUGAAAUACUCGGGCUUAACAUGAGUGCUGCGGACGAGACUGGAAGGCUGGAGUAGAGUAGAGGAGAGUGGAAUUUCCGGUGUAGCGGUGAAAUGCGUAGAUAUCGGAAGGAACACCAGUGGCGAAGGCGGCUCUCUGGACUCAUACUGACACUGAGGCACGAAAGCGUGGGGAGCGAACAGG